UACGUAGGGGGCAAGCGUUGUCCGGAAUCAUUGGGCGUAAAGCGCGCGUAGGCGGCCCGGUAAGUCCGCUGUAAAAGUCCAGGGCUCAACCCUGGAAAGCCGGUGGAUACUGUCGGGCUAGAGUCCGGAAGAGGCGAGUGGAAUUCCUGGUGUAGCGGUGGAAUGCUCAGAUAUCAGGAGGAACACCGAUGGCGAAGGCAGCUCGCUGGGACGGUACUGACGCUGAGGCGCGAAAGCGUGGGGAGCGAACAGG
rnacentral:rRNA from 1 species